rnacentral:rRNA from 1 species
CAGCAGCCACGGUAAGACAGAGGAUGCAAGCGUUAAUCGGAUUUACUGGGCGUAAAGCGUGCGUAGGCGGCUUUUUAAGUCGGAUGUGAAAUCCCUGAGCUUAACUUAGGAAUUGCAUUCGAUACUGGGAAGCUAGAGUAUGGGAGAGGAUGGUAGAAUUCCAGGUGUAGCGGUGAAAUGCGUAGAGAUCUGGAGGAAUACCGAUGGCGAAGGCAGCCAUCUGGCCUAAUACUGACGCUGAGGUACGAAAGCAUGGGGAGCAAACAGGAUUAGAUACCCCUGUAGUCCCUGUCUCUUAUAC